rnacentral:rRNA from 1 species
AGAGUUUGAUCCUGGCUCAGGAUGAACGCUAGCGGGAGGCCUAACACAUGCAAGCCGAGCGGUAGAGUAUCUUCGGAUACUUGAGAGCGGCGCACGGGUGCGGAACACGUGUGCAACCUGCCUUUAUCUGGGGGAUAGCCUUUCGAAAGGAAGAUUAAUACCCCAUAAUAUAUUUGAUGGCAUCAUUAGAUAUUGAAAACUCCGGUGGAUAGAGAUGGGCACGCGCAAGAUUAGUUAGUUGGUGAGGUAACGGCUCACCAAGGCGAUGAUCUUUAGGGGGCCUGAGAGGGUGAUCCCCCACACUGGUACUGAGACACGGACCAGACUCCUACGGGAGGCAGCAGUGAGGAAUAUUGGACAAUGGGUUAGCGCCUGAUCCAGCCAUCCCGCGUGAAGGACGACGGCCCUAUGGGUUGUAAACUUCUUUUGUAUAGGGAUAAACCUACUCUCGUGAGAGUAGCUGAAGGUACUAUACGAAUAAGCACCGGCUAACUCCGUGCCAGCAGCCGCGGUAAU